rnacentral:rRNA from 1 species
GACGAACGCUGGCGGCGUGCUUAACACAUGCAAGUCGAACGGAAAGGCCCUGCUUUUGUGGGGUGCUCGAGUGGCGAACGGGUGAGUAACACGUGAGUAACCUGCCCUUGACUUUGGGAUAACUUCAGGAAACUGGGGCUAAUACCGGAUAGGAGCUCCUGCUGCAUGGUGGGGGUUGGAAAGUUUCGGCGGUUGGGGAUGGACUCGCGGCUUAUCAGCUUGUUGGUGGGGUAGUGGCUUACCAAGGCUUUGACGGGUAGCCGGCCUGAGAGGAUGACCGGCCACAUUGGGACUGAGAUACGGCACAGACUCCUACGGGAGGCAGCAGUGGGGAAUAUUGCACAAUGGGCGGAAGCCUGAUGCAGCAACGCCGCGUGCGGGAUGACGGCCUUCGGGUUGUAAACCGCUUUCGCCUGUGACGAAGCGUGAGUGACGGUAAUGGGUAAAGAAGCACCAGCUAACUACGUG